rnacentral:rRNA from 1 species
GAUGAACGCUGGCGGCGUGCUUAACACAUGCAAGUCGAACGAGAAGUGAAGACGGAAACCUUCGGGCGGAAGGCUUUAUUUCGAGUGGCGGACGGGUGAGUAACGCGUGGGUAACCUGCCUCAUACAGGGGGAUAACAGUUGGAAACGACUGUUAAUACCGCAUAAGACCACAGCACCGCAUGGUGCGGGGGUAAAAACUCCGGUGGUAUGAGAUGGUCCCGCGUUCGAUUAGCCAGUUGGCGGGGUAACGGCCCACCAAAGCGACGAUCGAUAGCCGAUCUGAGAGGAUGACCGGCCACAUUGGGACUGAGACACGGCCCAAACUCCUACGGGAGGCAGCAGUGGGGAAUAUUGCACAAUGGGGGAAACCCUGAUGCAGCGACGCCGCGUGAGUGAAGAAGUAUUUCGGUAUGUAAAGCUCUAUCAGCAGGGAAGAAAAUGACGGUACCUGAGUAAGAAGCCCCGGCUAACUACGUG